rnacentral:rRNA from 1 species
GAUGAACGCUGGCAGCGUGCCUAAUACAUGCAAGUCGAGCGAACGGACGAGAAGCUUGCUUCUCUGAUGUUAGCGGCGGACGGGUGAGUAACACGUGGAUAACCUACCUAUAAGACUGGGAUAACUUCGGGAAACCGUAGCUAAUACCGGAUAAUAUUUUGAACCGCAUGGUUCAAAAGUGAAAGACGGUCUUGCUGUCACUUAUAGAUGGAUCCGCGCUGCAUUAGCUAGUUGGUAAGGUAACGGCUUACCAAGGCAACGAUGCAUAGCCGACCUGAGAGGGUGAUCGGCCACACUGGAACUGAGACACGGUCCAGACUCCUACGGGAGGCAGCAGUAGGGAAUCUUCCGCAAUGGGCGAAAGCCUGACGGAGCAACGCCGCGUGAGUGAUGAAGGUCUUCGGAUCGUAAAACUCUGUUAUUAGGGAAGAACAUAUGUGUAAGUAACUGUGCACAUCUUGACGGUACCUAAUCAGAAAGCCACGGCUAACUACGUG